CCUACGGGAGGCAGCAGUGGGGAAUAUUGCACAAUGGGGGAAACCCUGAUGCAGCGACGCCGCGUGAGUGAAGAAGUAUCUCGGUAUGUAAAGCUCUAUCAGCAGGGAAGAAAAUGACGGUACCUGAUUAAGAAUCACCGGCUAACUACGUUCCAGCAGCCGCGGUAAUACGGAGGAGGCAAGCGUUAUCCGGAUGUACUGGGUGUAAAGGGGGCGUAGGCGGCCGCGCAAGUCUGAGGUGAAAUGCCGGGGCUCAACCCCGGAACUGCUUCGGAAACUGGGCAGCUAGGGUGUAGGUGCGGUAGGGGGAAUGCAUGGUGUAGCGGGGAAAUGCUUAGAGAUCAGACAGAACACCGAGGGCGAAGGCAGCUUACCAAGCUACUUCUGACGUUGAGGCACGAAGGCGGGGGGAGAAAACAGGAUUAGAGACCCCGGUAGUC
rnacentral:rRNA from 1 species